rnacentral:rRNA from 1 species
CAGUAAGCGGCUAAGCGAAAGCGUUAAGUGAUCCACCUGGGGAGUACGAUCGCAAGGUUGAAACUCAAAGGAAUUGACGGGGGCCCGCACAAGCGGAGGAACAUGUGGUUUAAUUCGAUGAUACGCGAGGAACCUUACCUGGGCUUAAAUGGGGAGUGACAGCUGCUGAAAGGUGGUUUUCUUCGGACACUCUCCAAGGUGCUGCAUGGUUGUCGUCAGCUCGUGCCGUGAGGUGUCGGGUUAAGUCCCAUAACGAGCGCAACCCUUACUGUUAGUUGCCAGCGCGUCAAGGCGGGGACUCUAGCGGGACUGCCACCGUAAGGUGAGAGGAAGGUGGGGAUGACGUCAAAUCAGCACGGCCCUUAUGUCCAGGGCUACACACGUGUUACAAUGGCCGGUACAAAGGGCAGCUACACCGCGAGGUGAUGCUAAUCUCUAAAGCCGGUCCCAGUUCGGAUCGAAGUCUGCAACCCGACUUCGUGAAGUUGGAUUCGCUAGUAAUC